AGGUCUAAAGUUGGGGUCCAAGUAUAGGCCACAAGAGGGAGCCAGAUUCCAUGACACGGAGUCAUCUGUCCAGCCACCAAAAGAAGGUACAAAAUAUGACAGCACCUGCUGGAAUUCCAACUCAUGACCUUUGGGAGAACCGUUUGUGCCCUUAACCGCUAAGCUACCUGUUCUCAGUUCUUACAUUUGACCUUUUGGCGUCAUGGCCGCCUGAGGGGACAGGAACAGAUAGGGAAUCUGCGCAUGCUCACUCGCCGGAGGCGGGUUUAAAGUCUUGUCUCAACGAUUUUUCUUUUUGGAAGAAAUGAAGAUUUUACUUAAACUUUAGAAGAGAUGGGAAAUAAAACUCACGUUUUCCUGGGAAGCCGCGAGUGAGCGCCGCAGCCCCCACCAAACUCCUCCCCAUUCCCCGCGCCAAACUGUGGUGGAGGGCCGGAAGCAGAAACCGCGUCACAGCUUUUAUUUUAAUUAUUGUUGUUGAUAAUUAAUAAAGUUCAACCUCUGUCUCGCGGAAACCUG
rnacentral:lncRNA from 1 species